rnacentral:rRNA from 1 species
GAUGAACGCUGGCGGCGUGCCUAAUACAUGCAAGUCGAACGAGGUCUUCGGACCUAGUGGCGGACGGGUGAGUAACACGUUGGUACCUACCCCGAAGUGGGGAAUAACUGCCCGAAAGGGUGGCUAAUACCGCAUAAUACCGCAAGGUUAAAGCAGUAAUGCGCUUCGGGAGGGGCCUGCGUCCCAUUAGCUAGUUGGUAGGGUAAUGGCCUACCAAGGCGACGAUGGGUAGCUGGAUCGAGAGGUUGACCAGCCACACUGGGACUGAGAUACGGCCCAGACUCCUACGGGAGGCAGCAGUAAGGAAUUUUCCACAAUGGACGAAAGUCUGAUGGAGCAACGCCGCGUGCAGGAUGACGGCCUUCGGGUUGUAAACUGCUUUUAUACGGGAAGAUUAUGACGGUACCGUAUGAAUAAGGACCGGCUAACUACGUGCCAGCCGCCGCCGUAA